rnacentral:rRNA from 1 species
GUGAGGAAUAUUGCGCAAUGGAGGCAACUCUGACGCAGCCAUGCCGCGUGCAGGAAGAAGGCGCUACGCGUUGUAAACUGCUUUUAACCGGGAAGAAACCCCAGGACGUGUCCUGGGUUGACGGUACCGGAGGAAUAAGCACCGGCUAACUUCGUGCCAGCAGCCGCGGUAAUACGAAGGGUGCAAGCGUUAUCCGGAUUCAUUGGGUUUAAAGGGUGCGUAGGCGGAGCGUUAAGUCAGUGGUGAAAUCCUGCAGCUUAACUGUAGACUUGCCAUUGAUACUGGCGCUCUUGAGUGCGCUUGAAGUGGGCGGAAUGUGCCGUGUAGCGGUGAAAUGCUUAGAUAUGGCACAGAACACCAAUUGCGAAGGCAGCUCACUAAGGCGAUACUGACGCUGAGGCACGAAAGCAUGGGGAUCGAACAGGAUUAGAAACCCGUGUAGUCC